ACGCUGCGGGGAGGAGGGGACACCGGUCAGCAGCGCCGCGACCCUGCCCUACGGCCCCGCGGCCCACCAGCCCCGUCGAGCCGCCGCGUCCACUAGCUCCCAGCCUCGCGGGACGCCUGUGUUAAAGCAAGUCCGUCCUGGCUCUCGAAGUGCAAUCUUGCAUUUCUGAGGUGACAGAGGGGGUCACGACAGCAGAGUGCGGGGGAGAGGAAGAGGUGGGCGAGGCGGCAACGCGUGGGGCCACGCCGCUGAACCCCAGGCCAUGACGUGCGAGAAAGCCUCCGGCCGGCGCGCGGUGCUUGGUGGGUUCUCAGCAAACACUGCUGAAUGAAUAAAUUAAUAAAGUCUCUGGAACCCGGCA